rnacentral:piRNA from 1 species
UGGCUUGUGGUUUGAGAUGUGAGCGC